rnacentral:rRNA from 1 species
AUGAAGACUAUUCUGGUGCUGGAGACGAUGGAGAUCCUGGAGGAGGUCACCGUGAAGGUGUUGGCGAAGAUGACCACGAUGACGGAGCCACAUGGGAUGCUGACCCGCAACUUCAAGCACUUACAAAUGGGCAAGAUUGAAAUUCUACCAUUGAAGUAG